AAGGCAUCAUCUAUAAAGCAGGAAGCAAGCCCUUACAAGACUCUGAAUCUGUUGGAAACUUGAUUUUGGACUUCUCAGCCUUCAGAAUUGUGAGAAACAAAUUUCUGCUGUUUGGAGAGCUUUUCUUAUUGCACUGACUGGAUUCUACAAUAAAACGAUGAAAAGAAGCUGAGAUAAUAUGCACACUUGCCUCAUUCCUGAAUCUCAUGGGGAAAGCUUUGAAAAUUUACCUUAAGUGUAAUGAUGGCUGAGGAGUGAAAAGACAAGUGUGAGAACAGAGUAAAAGUGAAGAUAUGUAAGUAAAUCCUGAAGCCAUAGGGAAAAGCCAAAAGACACUGGACCAAGAGAAACAUCAGAAAAAAACUGCAGUUUUGGGAUAGAAGAUAGAGACAAGAAAUAUCAGUACACAAGGCACAGAUCUAUCGCCAGAGAAUUGUUCUUCAAGAUGACCAGCUUGACCUCUGAGUAAUCCUUCAUUUUCAGAAAGAAAUGACCCAUGUUUCCAGAUGAAUAGUAGCUUUCUCAACCUGUUUUUUACCUACAAAAGUACUGAAGAAAAAUAUAGGUGACAGUGGGAGGAAGUGGGCAUAAAUAUUCAUUCCAUCAAUUUCAUGAAUACAUCAAUAUGUAUUCAUUCUAUCAAUUUCAAGUAGACAGUUGAAUUUUCAAAUAAAAUAUUAUGAAGAAAAAUAUAAACAGCAGGAUAAAAUAAAUGUGGAAAUUGCUAAAACAAGAUAUAAACAUAAGUUAUAUUGAGCAAAAAUAAAUUCAUUUUACAAAUUAAAUUAUAAACCUAAAAUAAUGUUCCUGUAAGCAGAGACUCUUAUUAUUGCAUUUCAUCAAGUGCUGAAGAUGUCCCAGUGAUUUGAGUUGAAUAGAAUUAAGAGGAAAUUAGUCAAGGUAAAAUAAAUUCUAACAGAAAACAUAAUAGUUAUCUUUAUUUUGUCUCUAAAUGAAAUGUGAUAAGAAUUUUUUGGUUUUGCUUUUAUUUUUCUCAUCAGUGAUACCAAAAUGAAGUGCUGAUAUAUUCCCUAGCUACUAGAAAAAUUUGAAGUGUUGACUUGCUUGCUUUUGACUGCUUCUAAAACACAAUGAAAAUGAAAAUCUGCCUUUACAAACCUGAUUUUUAAAUUAUUCAAUAGACCUUUAAAAUAGUAUAAUUUGCAGUUUUUUUUAACUUGUAUUUGAUGUUCAGGGAUACAUGUACAGGUUUGUUACAUAGGUAAAUUUGUGUCAGAGGAGUUUGUUGUACAGAUUAUUAAUAUUUCAUCACCCAGGUAUUAAGCCUAUUACCUAUUAGUUAUUUUUUUCUGAUCCUCUCUUUCCUCCAACCCUCUACUCUCUGAUAGGCCCCAGUGUAUGUUGUUCCCCUCUAUGUGUCCAUGUGUUCUCAUCAUUUAUCUCCCACUUAUAAGUAAGGACAUGCAGUAUUUGGUUUUCUGUCCCUGUGUUAGUUUGCUAAGAAUAAUGGCCUUCAGUUCCAUCCAUGCCCUGCAAAGGACUUGAUAGCAUUCUUUUUUAUAAUUGAAUAGUAUUCCACAGAGUAUAUGUUCCACAUUUUAUUUAUCCAGUCUAUCAUUGAUUGGAAUUUAGGUAGAUUCCAUGUCUUUGCUAGUGUGAAUAGUGCUGCAAUGAAUAGACGUGUGCAUGUGUCUUUAUAAUAUAAUGAUUUAUAUUCUUUUGGGUAUCUACCCAGUAAUAGGAUAACUAUACAUCUGACAGAGGUGUAAUAUCCACAAUCUAAAAGGAACUUAAACAAAGUUACAGAAAAAAAUCAACCCCAUUAAAAAGUGGGAAAAGACAUGAACAGACGCUUCUCAAAAGAAGACAUACAUGUGGCCAAAAAUCAUAUGAAAGAAAGCUCAACAUGACUGAUCACUAGAGAAAUACAAAUCAAAACCAAAAUGAGAUACAAUCUAAUACCAGUCACAAUGGCUAUUAUUAAAAACAAAAAAUAACAGAUUCUGGUGAGGUUGUGGAGAAAAAGGGACUCACACACUGUUGGUGGGAGUGUAAAUUACUUCAACCAUUAUGGAAGACAGUGUGGUGAUUCCUCAAAGACCUAAAGACAGAACUUGCAAUUUUUAAAAUAAAUUUGGUCGCAUAAAUAUUUUGAAUACUGAUAUUUAUAUGCAUAUAUUACCUAGAUAUAGCCCUCCCAAUAAUCAGUUUUUUACAUUCAAAAGAAAGAUCAUGUCCAGGCCAAUCUUUACUAACCAUAAUACUAUCAAGAUAAAUAGGUAACCAGAGUUUCCUGUUCAUUGAUUUUGGGAAGCCUAUGUAUUAAUUCAGGAAAAUGAAUUUCAACAGCUUUAGUUCAUUUUUCUCUACUAAUGAUAUAUAAUGUAUUUCAAUUUUCACAUUUUAAUUAAAGCCAAUGAUAACAAUUGAACUCAUAUUUUAAUCAAUAAUAAAUAAUUACUAUUUCUAAUAUAAUUACAUUCUGUACUCUGUAUAAUAAAAUUACGUUUAUUCUUCACUGUGUAUAGUUUUUCCCUCAGUCUAGUGAAAAUGCCCACUUUAUAAAAACAAAGUGGAAUUAUUUAUUUAGAGUCUCAAUAUUAUUAUCUCUAAAAACUCUAACUAACCAAAUUGAAUUCAGUAAUAUCUACAUCAUCAUCUCCAACUUGAAGGAAUAUAUUUCCUUACCAAGUGAAGAAAAAAAGACAUCCUUAGUAGUACACUGUUCUUAAAAUAAAUACAAGUGGGAGAGGACUUGGUGUUUUUUUUUUUUCUCCCAUAGCCAGUAAGAUGAAAAAACUGCUCACAAAUGUCUCUUAUGAUUUCUCCUUUACUAGUUAUUCCAAAUAUUCCGAGUUUAUAUGAAGAUAUUUAAUUAAAUAUUACUCUCUAGAUGCCUGUUUGUAUCUCUACAUGUGAAUUGCUGAUCAAUUUCUUUUAAACCAUGGUCUCUGACUCAAAUAUAAAGGUAGGUACGUUGGUCAUGUUAGUGUGACUGUGGUUAUCAUUUCACAAUGUACACACACAUCAAACCAUCAUGUUGGAAAUCUUACAUAUGAUUUAAUUUGUCUGUAAUACCUCAAUAAAGCUGGAAAAUAAAGAGUGUUGAAGUUGCUAUAAGGGUUAUAGGAAAUGUCAUCCCUUGAAAAGGCUUGCAAACUCUGACAACAAAUAUAUACGAUUAAUGAGUUAAACUAAGAAAUAAGUACAAUAGAAACAAGAGCAUAAAGUGCAAAAUCACAUUAAAUAUGAAACUUUAAAACAUUAAUAUAUCUGUGUAGUAUGGGGGAAAAUAAAAUAUUAAAAAAUAUAAAACUUUAAGUGACUUCAAAUUUAAUAUGAAAUGAUUUAUAUGUCUUAAUGAAGAUUAAGUUAUCUGGGAAUUGAAAGGAUUCAGUCAGGGAAAAAAGCAUAGAAAAGGCAAGUGUGCAGAGACAAAUAAUAGCAUUUGCUUCCUGUACCGUGCAGAGGAGAGUCUGUGCAA